rnacentral:rRNA from 1 species
AACGCGAAGAACCUUACCUGGGUUUGACAUGCACAGGACGCCGGUAGAGAUAUCGGUUCCCUUGUGGCCUGUGUGCAGGUGGUGCAUGGCUGUCGUCAGCUCGUGUCGUGAGAUGUUGGGUUAAGUCCCGCAACGAGCGCAACCCUUGUCUCAUGUUGCCAGCGCGUUAUGGCGGGGACUCGUGAGAGACUGCCGGGGUCAACUCGGAGGAAGGUGGGGAUGACGUCAAGUCAUCAUGCCCCUUAUGUCCAGGGCUUCACACAUGCUACAAUGGCCGGUACAAAGGGCUGCGAUGCCGUGAGGCUUAGCGAAUCCUUGAAAGCCGGUCUCAGUUCGGAUCGGGGUCUGCAACUCGACCCCGUGAAGUCGGAGUCGCUAGUAAUCGCAGAUCAGCAACGCUGCGGUGAAUACGUUCCCGGGCCUUGUA